AGAAAAAGUAGCCCUGUGGCUCUUGUGUUGCCUGUGGGCAAGUUGCCUGGUGUGCCGACAGGCUUUUUUGAUGGCAAAAUGGUAUCUAUGGGCAAACAGCACCCUGGCUAUUGUCGUGGUUAAUUCAUGCCUUAUAUAUUAUCUUUCACAAUCACAACUCCUUUCAUUAAUUCGGAGUGCUUAAAGUAAUUACGAUAGUUUAGAUUAAUGGUAGACACUGAACUAAACCACAAUGACACAGCAGCAUUAAAGAAAAGGUUAACAUAGGAAGCCACAAGGAUGAAGUUUUAGAGAAAUUCAUAUACAGCCACUCAUUCUCAUGUUGGCAUUGUGAUGGAGCACAUAGACACCUCCAGCCGGAUCUCAUUCUAGCAUUUGAAGUAUAGAACUUGAUGCACGCAAAUAGUAGCCUCCAACAAGGAAGUUGGCAGCAACACACUAAAAUGAUCACAGAGACUAAACACUGGUCGAUUUUCAAAGGAGCACUGCACAAGCAUUUAGGACUGCUGUGCUAAAUGACAUGCUGUCAAAAACGGAAACGGUCAACAUUCUGCUCUAAAGGCACCAUCAAUUUAUGGAGGAAUCAAAUGUGCAGAUGUGGCGCUCUCAACUCGACGCUUGAAAAGGUAUUCUUAGACGUGUGUGCCUCUUCACGUUUCAACACAACUGCUUCCGCAGGUUUGACCAAUCUGUGCACAUUCAAAGUAAUACCCUUGAAGGUGACUGGUCAAUGGGAGCUUGACCAAUCUGUGCACACUGAAAGUGACACCCUUGAAGGUGACUGGUCAAUGACAGGACCCAGGGGAACACGGG
rnacentral:lncRNA from 1 species